rnacentral:rRNA from 1 species
AGCGAACGCUGGCGGUAGGCCUAACACAUGCAAGUCGAACGAAGCCUUCGGGCUUAGUGGCGGACGGGUGAGUAACACGUGGGAACGUACCUUUUGGUUCGGAAUAACGCAGAGAAAUUUGCGCUAAUACCGAAUGAGCCCUUCGGGGGAAAGAUUUAUCGCCGAAAGAUCGGCCCGCGUUGGAUUAGGUAGUUGGUGUGGUAAAGGCGCACCAAGCCUACGAUCUAUAGCUGGUCUGAGAGGAUGAUCAGCCACACUGGGACUGAGACACGGCCCAGACUCCUACGGGAGGCGGCAGUGGGGAAUCUUGCGCAAUGGGCGAAAGCCUGACGCAGCCAUGCCGCGUGAAUGAUGAAGGUCUUAGGAUUGUAAAAUUCUUUUACCAGGGACGAUAAUGACGGUACCUGGAGAAAAAGCCCCGGCUAACUUCGUGCCAGCAGCCGCGGUAACAC